UUUCCCUUCUAGUAAUCUUUCCUCCCCCUGCUUACACUGCUUGUAAAAGAACAUGUCAGGGUUGUUGUAGGGAUGGAUGAUGUGUCUCCUGGGUUGUGCAAGCAAUAUAGUUGUACUAAUCUGCCCCAAAUUAAAGGGAAGAACCAAAUAUUUCAUAGAAUAAUACAAUUUUGGGGGUAGAAGGGACUUUAGAAAUCACCUAGUGCCAACUCCCAUGCCUUGGGCAGGGGCACCUUUCACUAGAACAUGUAAAGUGCAGUGCUGGACAAAAAGAAAAAAAUAAAAUUUUUAUUUAAAGCCUAUAGUGUGACAGAGAAGUCUGACAUGACUACUACUGUAAUUUCUGCCCAUGCAACUGAGGUAUAGAAUUUUACAAGUUUACAUAGUUAAGUCUUGGGCAGUACUGGAAGAAAUAUUUCUUUUACAUAAAUAGUUCUUAUAGAUUACCAGCUGCUGAAAUAAGUAGUAGAAAGCAAGAAAAGUUUAGGAGUUUGUGGUAAAUAUUAUCUGUGCAAUACAAUGUCAAUGCCUAUUCAAAAUGUGAGCAAUAUAAUUUAUUUUAUUUCCUUUCUCAGAAACCAUUGCUGUAUACUGAAAUUAUUUUCUUUUACAACUGGAACACAAUCUGUGUGAUCAUGUUUACAUCUUGUUGAAAUUAUAAGGGUCAGCUGCAGUUAAAUGGGCUGUAGAUUUCUACAUUUUACAAUCUGGGGUGAUUUUCUUUUUUCCAAAGGCAACUGGAACACAUUCUGUGUGAUCAUGUUUAUAUCUUGUUGAAAUUAUAAGGGUCAGCUGCAGUUAAAUGGGCUGUAGAUUUCUACAUUUUACAAUCUGGGGUGAUUUUCUUUUUUCCAAAGGCAAAAAUUCCACUUUCAUUUCUUUGUAGUACCAGGACCUGGAGUUCCUGUCAAUCUUUUUGUAAUAACCACACAUCUGUUACUGUUACAAGUUGUAUAGUUUUAAAGUUGUAUAGUUUUAUAUACAUAGCUAUAUAGAGAGAGAGUUGUACAUAUAUAUAGUUAUUGGUAUAUUAGUUAUUGUUACAAGUUGUAUAGUUUUAUAUAUAUAGCUAUAUAGAGAGAGAGUUAUACAUAUAUAUAGUUAUUGGUAUAUUAGUUAUAUGUAUUUUGUUAUAUUGUCUCCUCACUGUUUCCUUCUGCUUAAAAAGGGCUAAGCUAAAGGUACAGAACAUUGCCAAUUUUUUGUGCUCUGAAGCUUUCCUCUUCCCCAUCAGCAUGACAUCUUACCAACAAAACAAUAAUUAGUGAUCAGAUCAGCAUGACUCCUAAUGUCAUAUAUAUGAAGAUGUUGAAUUUACAACCUGUGAGCUGCCCAAUAGACAGAACUACAACCAUUCUCAAGGAGUGGUGUUAAGUGGAGGCAGACAGGACCAGGAGCUGGACUUGAUGUUCCUUGUGGGUUCCUUCCAGUUUGGGGUGUUCUAUGUUUCUAAAUCUCUUACAGAAAUA
rnacentral:lncRNA from 1 species